ACCUUCUGUGGUGUAGUUGGUAGCGCCUUAACUUAGUAAUAAUAAGUCCUAGGUUCAAACCCCAGUCGAGGUA